GAUGAAGAACGUAGCGAAAUGCGAUACGUAAUGUGAAUUGCAAAUUCAGUGAAUCAUCGAGUCUUUGAACGCACAUUGCGCCCCCUGGUAUUCCGGGGGGCAUGCCUGUCCGAGCGUCAUUGCUGCCCUCAAGCACGGCUUGUGUGUUGGGCCCCGUCCUCCGAUCCCGGGGGACGGGCCCGAAAGGCAGCGGCGGCACCGCGUCCGGUCCUCGAGCGUAUGGGGCUUUGUCACCCGCUCUGUAGGCCCGGCCGGCGCUUGCCGAUCAACCCAAAUUUUAUCCAGGUUGACCUCGGAUCAGGUAGGGAUACCCGCUGAACUUAAGCAUAUCAAUAAGCGGAGGA
rnacentral:misc_RNA from 1 species